rnacentral:pre_miRNA from 1 species
ACUUUGGGUUUGAUCCAAAGCCCAUUGAAAUCAAUGGAAAGAGUCCCACUGACUUCAGUGGGCUUUGGAUUAGACCUUUUGAGU